rnacentral:siRNA from 1 species
GGGUGAAGAUCCACCACCACAAGC